rnacentral:lncRNA from 1 species
GGUGUGGUGGUGGUGGUGGUGGUCAUGGUGUAGUGGUAGUGGCAGUGAGGGAGCUGCAGAUGGAGAUGGAGGUGGAGGUCUGAUCUUCAAGUCAUCCAUAGCUGCUGCUACUACACAGGUCACUGCUGAGCCUCCACCGGUUCCCAUCUUUCAAUAUGGGCCUCAGGCCAGGCAGUGGGUUGCAGGGACCCUGUAUUGGGAAAACACCAAUGUCUGUGUUUUCUUCUUACUCUUUGUUAUGUGUUAAGUAUGCCCCCAUCCCCAAAUUCAUAGGUUGAAGCUGUCGUAACCCCCAACGUGAUUGUAUUUGUUAAAGAGGUAAUUAAGUUUAAGUAAGAUUAUAAGGGCCUUAAUCCAGUAGGAUUGGUGUCCUUAGAUG